rnacentral:lncRNA from 1 species
ACCUUCCGUCAGCCUCAGCCAGCCAUCGUCCCCAUCCACUCCCGCGCCGCCACUUCGCUUUCCACGCUACCCAGGCUUGCAAGAAAGACAACUGCCUUCCCUUCGCGCUCUCCUUUUAUUUACCGUGUGUUAGGCCAAGUGCGUUGUUGAAGUCACGACUAAGCCACCGUUUGAAGUAGUUCAUAUAGCUCGCCCUAGCUGCGUUGCAAGUCUUCGUGUUCAACUCUACGGGAAUAACACAGAAUCGUUGGUGAAAGAACCAGACUCAAAAGGCAAUUUUACUCUUUCCCUCCGCCGACCACCACCACCACCACCACCACCAUGGCAAUGCCCGAGCCCAUUAGUCUGAGGGACAUCCAGUACCUACCCGAGGAGAACAACAUAUGGAUGUACGCCAUCGUCGCCAUUGGGUCUGCCUUCCUCGUCUUCGUCCUCAUCUCCGUCUACCUUAUGUGGCGAUCUAUGCGCUCCGAGAGGCAGGACAUCGAGAGAGAGACGCUGUGUGAGGCGGAGAAGCUGCCGGCGAAGAGCAGUAUCACCUCACUUCACUCUGACCUCUCCUUCACCGCCACCUCGCCCUAAGCAGACCCGACCCGACCUGACCCCGCCUGAUCCCGCCACGCCAUCCCUCUUCCCCCGUUAAAGGUCACACACCUGAGGAGGCACCCAUCUACGCAGUCACCACCACCACCACCUCCCGAUGCAGGCAACAACACCAACACCUCCUACCACAAAAGCACGCCUCCACUCAAGCCACUCAGCUAUGACGCACGCUCACUGCCCUUACCCACUCCCACACCCACCUGGGGACCUCCUCUUUCUGGUGCAGGAGGGUGAUGGAGGCUGAUGCUGUAGUCUCAGUCUCAAGCCCCUUCUAGAUGUCACCUGCUUCUCUAAGGAUACCUUAAUGCCCCGGGGAAAUUGUGUGGUGUCCCUGGUAUGUGUGGAGGUCUUGUCACCCUGCAUCCUCUCUCCUUCCUCGUGUCUGGUGAAGGUUUGUAGCACUGGUGGAGUCUCGGGUUGCUGCUUCACUAUCUUGGUAAGCUUUUUUUUUCUUUCUCACAUUCUGAGUCUAUUUGUUUUUUUAUAUGUUAACACUUAGGCAUUUUGUUUAUUUAAUUCAUGACUUCCUAUUCUUAAUCAUGUACUUAAGUGUUUUUGACAAGAUGGUAAGUUUUUCACAUUUCCCAAUGAUUUUCUUCAUACUGAACACUUUAAUUUACACCUAACCUUCAAAUAUGUACUGUAUAUCUGAACAUUAAGGACAGUGAUUGUUAUUUGAAUGAUGGCAUAAAGUUUGGUAAUAAUAAUCUUCAGUUCCCAUAGUACAGCUAUAACAGGAGACUCCAACAUUGCUGCCUUGCUUAUCUGAUCAAAUUGGCAAGCGAUGUUCAUUUCCUUCCCCAUCCUCCUGACUGCUAGUAAGUUAUUUUGUUGGUGACCAGGAGCUUUUCCAAGCCAGUGGUCUACAAAGGAAGAUUUAGCAGACCUUAACAUUGUGUCGUAGGUGUUGAUACAUUUAUAAUAUAUUGUGAGACUAGACAGUAGGGUUCACGUUACAUAGUGACAUGCAGCAGAGUCCCACUUAACCAAAGCCAAAGGGAGGAAACUACUUCAGAUUAACAUUUCUGAUAGCUUUACUUUUACUCUUCAAAGAUUUUUCAACAUAAACCUGAGGAAAAUACUUGAAUGGAUUAGUGGCUGCCAGAUGGGAGGUGGGUAAACACUUGCCAGAAACAAACAACCCAAAUAGUAAUACAAUUUGCGAUCUAAUUAAUAAUAAUUUGUUAAAUUCACCAUUCGUGGUCUUCAGAAAUUCAGGAUUUGGUGAAAUGGGACUCUGGUGUAGCAAGUCUGUGUUAGUGGGUGUUUAUGUAGCAGCAACUCAUGUGUGAAGCUUUAAAUCUGUAGCCCAUAGCGUCGGAACAGGAUGAUAGGGCGCAUUAGGGCUGGUCUUCCUUAUUCUUAUUAACAAAAAUGGUUAUUGAUGUUCCUUUACUUCAAAGUCACCUCUUGUAACCUUGUAUCAUUUUGGUAUUUAUUUCUCAUCAGUAAUUUCAGAUGGUUCUUGGCACAGUUAUUUUUCAUUAAUUGCAAAAUUGCAAUGCACCUCUGUAAUGUAUUUUAACAAUUAUUCAGUUCUUAUAACUACUACUUGAGUAUUUAGAUGCACUCUUGUAACCUUAUAUAUCUCAGUACUACCUUACAAUAACUGCAUACUAUUUCAAAUGCACUUCUGUAACCUUGUAUGUAUUAUCUCAGUACUAACUUUCUGACACCUAACUAUUAUUUGUAAGGUUCUCGGGUGAUAUUUUUGUGGCUUUAGGUAACAUUGGCAUUUCCAUCAUGUCUUCCAUCGUUGAUAUACAUAAAUAAGCCAAAAAAAAUAUAUCAUAAUGUUUUAUACCUUGAGCUAGGUAAAAAAUAUAUUAUGGCAUUAUAAACUAAGCUGCUUUUAUAAGAUGAGGAAGACGAUCAUUGUGUUAUUAUUCACACAGCCUGAGUUCAGCUUCUCAUGUUGUCUGGUACAACUUGUGACCUUUAUAAAGUAAUGCUCAGCUUAAAUGGAAAAUCAAAAUCUGAAUAUCACAGGUCUCCACUACUCCCACUCACCAAGUUCAUGUCCCAGUGUCAGUGUCAGAUAAAGUGAGGUGACCAUGAGCAAUAACUUGUGCCAUCAAAUUAUAAGCACCAUUUAACACUUAGUUACAUAGUUAUUACUGCUUCCAUUAUACAUAAUUCAUUACUGCUUCCAUUAUUUAUGACUGGUCAGAGGCUUAUGUCAUGUCUUUACAGUUACAUGAUCAUUCAAGCAAGAUAUAUCUCCCACUGACAAGUUAUAAGUCACUGACUUGUUUUGUGAGGUAAUAUAGCAAUCCUUCACAGCUUAGGGAGGAACCUUACAGUCUGGGACAAGGAGAUGGCGAGUGGUGGAUGGAGUUUCUCAUGCCAAGAAAUAUUUUAUGGAUUCAAAAAUUAUCAAAGGAAAGUGCAUACUAUGUGAAAAUCAAAAAAUAUAAUAUCAGAGUUACUGACUAGUUUUGUAUACAGAUUUAAACUAUAUUAUGUAUAAUAAUAAUUCUAGUCCCUAAACUAUAAGAUUAAUCAAAAUUAAGAAAGAAAUUAUUGAUAUUUAUGUAUCCCAAACUGAUUAAUACUUCAACUUGUUUUAAAGGAAAUACUUAUGUAAUGGUAGACAUGAAUUAUUUUUCAUUGUUGGUUCUGUUGUGUUUAACAUUUCAUAAAUUCAUUUCACAAGGUGAAGGUCACUGGGUCAGCACAGGCAGUGUCUUGUACUGUGGAGCACCACAGAACAUGUAUUUUCCAUCAUAUAACCCAGAUUUUGCCAUGCCUUUAGUUUAAUUUGUCCUUCAUCACAACAAAAGGUGUAGAGUUGCUGGCAUCAUCAUGUGAAACAGGUGUUUGCUACCUCAAGUAUUGCAGGCUACACUUGGACAGAUUUAUCUUUAUGGAGGAGGUGCAGGCAAAUCAGCGAUGCUUCAGUGUCAGCAGCCCAUGACUUGGCCAAGUGACAAUGGCCAGCAGCCACCUGCCUGGCCAGCCCAUAGCAAGGCAACACUAGGUGGUAAGGGCACAUAUCCACAUGGGCUACCUGUGUGUGGAAAAUUGGCAUCACCUCAAAUGCACUUCACCAGCACAGGGUGGCGUAGUGGAUAAGGUGGUGAAUGUGGGUUAAAAUCCCACUACAUACCGAUUUGAAGCUCUGCCAUUUGUCCAGUGGUUUAAAAUUACCUACAUGUCACCAUGAUACCCAGGUUCUAGAUGGUUACAACAAAGAUGCACUUGGGUGGUGAUACGGGCCCUAAUAUGGGUACCACUAUAAAUAAAAUUGCCUGCACCACUCACUAGUGGGAGGAAGCUGAACAUAUAUUCAAGUAUGACUAUAGGCACUAUAGGCCAUAUUAAAAAAAAAAAGUCAUACACCGACAAUAUUUCUUGAUAUUCUCAUUCUCUCUCUCUGUCUAUAUUUCACAUGCCACUAGUUAGCGAAAUAUCCACUGCUGCCACCGGACAACAUCAACUAUAUGUGCCAGUGAAUAAUACCUGUACAGAGGCGUGCUCCAUGCUAGUGGCUGGGCCCACACUGUGGAACAGCCUUCCCAGUGACAUCAAAAAUGCACCUUCAUUACGCUCAUUUAAGAAACAGCUGUUCCUCCAUCUUUUUAAGCAUCAGUUUAGUGAGUAGUCUAUGUUAUUAGUUUGUUAUUAUGUUUUAUCCCUGACUAUUUUAUUUUUAGUUGUUUUGUCAUGUUUUAUAUGUAGUUUUAAUUAUGACACAGACAUGUCUUAGCUUUUUAGUUAUAAUUAUCAUCUAUUAUAAUUGAUUGUUAAACACGUGUAUUUUAUCUGUUAUAGGCAUCACUGAUCUCACAAUGUUUGUAUGAUUGAAGAAUAACCAUUGUAAAAUGGAAUAAAGGUUUGAUUCUGAUUCUCUCUCUCUCUCUCUGUCUGAGAGAGAGAGAGACAGACACUCUCUCUCUCUCUCACAGAGAGAUAGACAGAGACAGA